UGUGGGAGCGAGCCUGCUCGCGAAAGCGGUGGGUCAGCUUGCAUCCAUGUUGAUGUGCUGCCGCUAUCGCGAGCAGGCUCGCUCCCACA
rnacentral:misc_RNA from 1 species